AUACGUAGGUGGCAAGCGUUGUCCGGAUUUACUGGGCGUAAAGGGAGCGUAGGCGGACUUUUAAGUGGGAUGUGAAAUACCCGGGCUUAACCUGGGUGCUGCAUUCCAAACUGGGAGUCUAGAGUGCAGGAGGGGAAAGUGGAAUUCCUAGUGUAGCGGUGAAAUGCGUAGAGAUUAGGAAGAACACCAGUGGCGAAGGCGCUUCUCUGGACUGUAACUGACGCUGAGGCUCGAAAGCGUGGGGAGC
rnacentral:rRNA from 1 species